UUUAUGCGGGGUUGUGGGAAGAACUACGAGGAACUGCAACGUACUCAACAAUGUUAAUGACUGAACUGGAACUAGUUGGAAAGCUAGAUCGUAGAAGGUGAUAAUCCUGUACAGGUAAACUCAUUAACUUGUCCGUUCUCUCCCAAGUAACAUGGAACACGAGGAAUUCUGUGUGAAUCUGCGAGGACCAUAUCUCGUAAGGCUAAAUACUCUUACUAACCGAUAGCGUAUAGUACCGUGAGGGAAAGGUGAAAAGAACCCCGGGAGGGGAGUGAAAUAGAACC
rnacentral:rRNA from 1 species